rfam:Planctomycetes bacterium RIFCSPHIGHO2_12_39_6 rifcsphigho2_12_sub10_scaffold_32555, whole genome shotgun sequence.
AAAGUCCCGCGAAAGGAGUUGUCCGUACACCUUUCUAGCACCGAGAUGUGGCCUUAGAGUAAUCUUUGAUCAUAAGUAUCUUAGGGCAAAUCAGCAGGCCGUAAUGCAAAUGAACCUAUAAGUAGCCUCGAUAACUAAGUGGGGAAGCCGACCCUGUGGUCAGAAGGGGAAGGCCGUUGGGUACACGUUGAAAUAACGGAAGUGACGAGUAUCGACCUCCGGGGUGGCAAGGUC